UAAAUUAAUUAAAAUUUUAAUAUUUUUUCAAUGUAAAUGAAAUACUUUAUAAUUAAGUUAUAAUUUA
rnacentral:tRNA from 1 species